GAUGAAGAACGUAGUGAAAUGCGAUAAGUAAUGUGAAUUGCAGAAUUCAGUGAAUCAUCGAGUUUUUGAACGCAUAUUGCGCCCUCUGGUAUUCCGGGGGGCAUGCCUGUUCGAGCGUCAUUAAAUAACCCUCAAGCAUAGCUUGGUGUUGGGCUUUUUUACGUCCUUGACUGGGAUGGGCCUAAAAAUUAGUGGCGAUGGCUUUUUUACUUUCAAGCGUAGUAAAUCUCGUCUUGCUAAAGAGGAAAAAGAUUUUUUUUCUGCCAAAAAUUUUAACAUUUAAAGUUGACCUCGGAUCAGGUAGGAUUACCCGCUGAACUUAAGCAUAUCAAUAAGCGGAGGA
rnacentral:misc_RNA from 1 species